AUUGAACGCUGGCGGCAGGCCUAACACAUGCAAGUCGAACGGUAACAGGAAGCAGCUUGCUGCUUCGCUGACGAGUGGCGUACGGGUGAGUAAUGUCUGGGAAACUGCCUGAUGGAGGGGGAUAACUACUGGAAACGGUAGCUAAUACCGCAUAACGUCGCAAGACCAAAGAGGGGGACCUUCGGGCCUCUUGCCAUCGGAUGUGCCCAGAUGGGAUUAGCUAGUAGGUGGGGUAACGGCUCGCCUAGGCGACGAUCCCUAGCUGGUCUGAGGGGAUGACCGGCCACACUGGAACUGAGACACGGUCCAGACUCCUACGGGAGGCAGCAGUGGGGAAUAUUGCACAAUGGGCGCAAGCCUGAUGCAGCCAUGCCGCGUGUAUGAAGAAGGCCUUCGGGUUGUAAAGUACUUUCAGCGGGGAGGAAGGCGAUAAGGUUAAUAACCUUGUCGAUUGACGUUACCCGCAGAAGAAGCACCGGCUAACUCCGUGCCAGCAGCCGCGGUAA
rnacentral:rRNA from 1 species